rnacentral:rRNA from 2 species
AAGAAAGUAAAUAAGGGCACACGGGGGAUGCCUAGGCUCUCAGAGGCGAAGAAGGACGUGAUAAGCUGCGAUAAGCUUUGGGGAUUGGCAAAUGCGACUUGAUCCAGAGAUUUCCGAAUGGGGCAACCUGACUAUUUGAAGAAUAGUCGUAUAAAACGCGAACGCGCUGAACUGAAACAUCUAAGUAGGCGUAGGAGAAGAAAAUAACAAUGAUUUCCCAAGUAGUGGCGAGCGAACGGGAAAUAGCCCAAACCGAUCAUGUUACGGCAUGGUCGGGGUUGUAGGACCACGACAUUGUACAGCGCUAUGAACUGGAAGCAGGUGGGAAACUGCGCGACAAGGGUGAGAGCCCCGUACAGGUAAAGAAUGUUGACAUAGUGGUAUCCUGAGUACCGCGGGACCGGAGAAAUCCUGUGGGAAUCCACCAGCACCAUCUGGUAAGGCUAAAUACUCCUGAGAGACCGAUAGUGAACCAGUACCGUGAGGGAAAGGUGAAAAGAACCCCGAACAGGGGAGUGAAAAGAACCUGAAACCGUGUGCUUACAAGCGGUUGGAGCAGGCAGGUCCUGUGACAGCGUGCCUUUUGCAUAAUGAGCCUACGAGUUACUCUUGUCUGGCAAGGUUAAGUCCUUCAGGGACGCAGCCGAAGCGAAAGCGAGUCUUAAUAGGGCGCAUAGUCAGAUGAGGUAGACGCGAAACCUUGUGAUCUACCCUUGGGCAGGUUGAAGUUGCAGUAACAUGUAAUGGAGGACCGAACCGAUAAACGUUGAAAAGUUUCCGGAUGACCUGAGGGUAGGGGUGAAAGGCCAAUCAAACUGGGAAAUAGCUCGUACUCCCCGAAAUGUUUUUAGGAACAGCGUCGGCAUGGAGUCUGAUAGAGGUAGAGCUACCGAUUGGGUGCGGGGGAGUCAAAUCCUACCAAAUCCAGACGAACUCCGAAUGCUAUCAGAUAUGGCCGGCAGUGAGGCUUUGGGUGCUAAGGUCCAAGGCCGAGAGGGAAAGAACCCAGACCAUCAGCUAAGGUCCCCAAAUCCGUUCUAAGUUGAACUAACGAGGUCCGGUUGCCCAGACAGCUAGGAUGUUGGCUUGGAAGCAGCCAUUCAUUUAAAGAGUGCGUAACAGCUCACUAGUCGAGCGGCCGGGCGUGGAUAAUAAACGGGCAUCAAGAACGGUACCGAAGCUAUGGAUUUGCAUUGAGAUAUAUGCAUCUGGUAGGGGAGCAUUCCAUAUGGGGCGAAGAUACCUGGUAAUGGGUGUUGGACCGUAUGGAAAAGCAAAUGUAGGCAUAAGUAACGAUAAGGCGGGUGGGAAACCCGCCCACCGAAAGACCAAGGUUUCCUGAUCAACGUUAAUCGGAUCAGGGUCAGUCGGGACCUAAGGCGCACCCGAAGGGGGCAAGCCGAUGGACAACUGGUUAAUAUUCCAGUACUCUUCAUAACUGCGAUGUGGUGACGGAGUAGUGACACUGCCGCGAACUGACGGAAUAGUUCGUUGAAAGGCGUAGGUAUUGGAGUUGUAGGCAAAUCCGCAACUCUAGCUGAAACCCAAUAGUACAGCAAAGCUCCGGUGGCGCUGAUAGAGCAGGUAAACAGACUUCCAAGAAAACCCGCUAAGCUUCAGGUUAUGAAGACCCGUACCGCAAACCGACACAGGUGGUCGAGGAGAGAAUCCUAAGGUGCUCGAGUGAGUCAUGGCUAAGGAACUCGGCAAAAUGGCCCUGUAACUUCGGGAGAAGGGGCGCUGUCUCAGUGAUGAGCAGCCGCAGUGAAAAGGCCCAGGCGACUGUUUAACAAAAACAUAUGGCUUUGCAAAAUCGCAAGAUGAGGUAUAAGGCCUGACACCUGCCCGGUGCUGGAAGGUUAAGAGGGGAUGUCAUCGCAAGAGAAGCAUUGAAUCGAAGCCCCAGUAAACGGCGGCCGUAACUAUAACGGUCCUAAGGUAGCGAAAUUCCUUGUCGGGUAAGUUCCGACCUGCACGAAUGGUGUAACGAUCUGGGCGCUGUCUCAGCCAUGAGCUCGGUGAAAUUGUGGUAUCGGUGAAGACGCCGAUUACCCGCAACGGGACGGAAAGACCCCAUGCACCUUCACUAUAGCUUAACAUUGAGAUUGGGUACAGGAUGUGUAGGAUAGGCGGGAGAUGUUGAAGCGGCUUCGCCAGGAGUCGUGGAAUCAACCUUGAAAUACCGCCCUUUCUGUAUCCGGUUUCUAACUCG